UGCGGCCCUUCCCGGGGGCGCUCCGGCCGGGUGGCCGGGUCCGUCCUUGGUGGCGCCAGGACCUGGCACUUUUGUCUUACAACUUAAUGGAAUACCAAGUUAUCUCUGUCAAAAAUGGUAAGGUAUCUUCUGCAUCUAAACUAUCUUUGGGGCUUGUUGGAUGGCCACUGAGUAACCAUAAAGGUUACUAUCCCCUCACAUUAAAAAAAAAAAGCUAAAAUAAUCAUAAAAAUAUUGAAACUGUGACUUACUCUUAUACCUGCAAAUAUUAACCUUACCUGCCAAUGACCAGUGACCAUGAAAUAUAAAUAACAAUUACUACUGUCCUAUCAUCCCAGACGGGCCAGAACCCACCCUGUCUUCACCAAUGCUGCAAGGAUUUUUGUUUUCCUUUUACUGAUGAAAAAAUGGAUUGAGUGGUAAAGACCUGAAUGUAAAUCAUGAAACCAUAAAACUCUUAGAAGAAAACAUAGGCAAAAAUCUCCUGAAUAUAAACAUGAGCAACUUUUUCCUGAAU